AUGCUUAAGAUCCUUGAGGUUUUGCAGAUGCAAUGUCAUGAUGCCAUGAGGGAUUUUAGGGCCAAAAUUGGGUUCUUACAGAUGCCCCAAUUUAAGGUCAUUCUAGCCGGAGAAGUGAAGGUUAAAAUCUUCAUAUAGACGAGGUAGACAGGGCUUAAAUAAUAACAAAGAGAGGAAUUUUGGUCCCUAAGAGAUCUCAUGAUGCAAAUGUAUGCAUGCAAAAAGGUAAUACUCUGUGGAGAUUUGUGUCCAAAAAGAGGAAAAGAAAUACGGAGGAACUAACAAUCCAUAUGAGUGACACACUCAAUGGGAUAGAGACUAUGAGACUCUUAUGGGGAUAGAAAAGGGGAUAACUUGCGUGAGCUGGGCACGACUCAAAGCUUGGGGAGCAGAAUUCCAAAAGAAUAAAUCAACUGGAGAGACCUGUGCUGACUCAAAGGAGCAUGUAUUGGGGAAUAUGCCAAUACAACAGAAUUAUCCACCAAGGACA
rnacentral:lncRNA from 1 species